GCGUUAUCCGGAUUUAUUGGGUUUAAAGGGUGCGUAGGCGGCUUAUUAAGUCAGGGGUGAAAGACGGUGGCUCAACCAUCGCAGUGCCUUUGAUACUGAUGAGCUUGAAUAUACUAGAGGUAGGCGGAAUGUGACAAGUAGCGGUGAAAUGCAUAGAUAUGUCACAGAACACCGAUUGCGGAGGCAGCUUACUAUGGUAUUAUUGACGCUGAGGCACGAAAGCGUG
rnacentral:rRNA from 1 species